CAUGGGCAGAAAGGUGAAAAUUGUGGCCAGAGGCAGAUUGUGGUAAAUUACAAAAUUGGCUCAUAAUCCUUUAUUCCUUCUUGCCUCCAUGCUCUUUGCAAUGUGACUUUGCCACUUUUCUCAUUAAGAGAUGGAUUCUGUUCUCCAUUGCCUUCUGUCUGGACUGGUCUUGUAACUUGUUCUGGUUAAUACAGAGGUAAAUGUGAUGACACAUCAGAAGCCCAGGCCUCAAGCAAGCUUUCCCACUUGUUCUCUUGGAACCCUUCCCAGCUAUCAGACACUACUGGCAAAGACAUUGAAAAGAAUCACACUGCUAAACCAGUAGCAGCUUUUAUCUUCUUCUCAGAUUGUAUACAUGCAGGAUAAAAGUGUUUCUAACACAUAGACUUCUAUAUUCCAGCAUAAAGAUGUAUUAGGCGCAUUUAUACUUUUACAUCGAAGCCUGUUUCAACAUGAACGGAGCCCAGGGAAGUUGGUGACUUAAUCCUCGUUAUACCCUGAUUUUGGACAAAUUUUACAAGAAGAAUAGGACUUCUACUUCUCUAUGUCUACAUGCACCUGGAACAGUGCUAGGUCUAUGCUUACAAAUUGAUUGGUUCAGGUCACCGCCAUGAGCCUCAGGACAGAAAAUUGCCGGAUAUGAGAGAGAGAGAGAGAUUUGACUGGGCUAAGAAAGAAAUGAACACGAUUUAGAGAUGGAAAUGGUGACAUAUGGGCCUUUGAAGCCUCCCAUGUUCCAGAGAAGCCUUUUCUAGCUGAUCUCCCACCAUGACAUCCUUCCCCCACAGCUGGUUUGUC
rnacentral:lncRNA from 1 species